rnacentral:tRNA from 1 species
AGUUACUUAACUAAUAAAGUGUUUACUUUGAAAGUAGACUAUAGGGAUACCUAGUGUUCUU